CCGUGUCGGUGGCGCGGUCCCACUCCGCGUUGCGGACGAGGACGACCUCCUUGCCGGGGUCGAUCGUCUCGAACCGGUACGGGCC
rnacentral:tRNA from 1 species